rnacentral:rRNA from 1 species
GUUUGAUCCUGGCUCAGGACGAACGCUGGCGGCGUGCUUAACACAUGCAAGUCGAACGAUGAAGCCGCUUCGGUGGUGGAUUAGUGGCGAACGGGUGAGUAACACGUGGGCAAUCUGCCCUGCACUCUGGGACAAGCCCUGGAAACGGGGUCUAAUACCGGAUAUGACUACUGAUCGCAUGGUUAGUGGUGGAAAGCUCCGGCGGUGCAGGAUGAGCCCGCGGCCUAUCAGCUUGUUGGUGGGGUGAUGGCCUACCAAGGCGACGACGGGUAGCCGGCCUGAGAGGGCGACCGGCCACACUGGGACUGAGACACGGCCCAGACUCCUACGGGAGGCAGCAGUGGGGAAUAUUGCACAAUGGGCGAAAGCCUGAUGCAGCGACGCCGCGUGAGGGAUGACGGCCUUCGGGUUGUAAACCUCUUUCAGCAGGGAAGAAGCGAGAGUGACGGUCCCUGCAGAAGAAGCGCCGGCUAACUACGUGCCAGCAGCCGCGGUAAUACGUAGGGUGCGAGCGUUGUCCGGAAUUCUUGGGCGUAAAGAGCUCGUAGGCGGCUUGUCACGUCGGAUGUGAAAGCCCGGGGCUUAACCCCGGGUCUGCAUUCGAUACGGGCAGGCUAGAGUUCGGUAGGGGAGAUCGGAAUUCCUGGUGUAGCGGUGAAAUGCGCAGAUAUCAGGAGGAACACCGGUGGCGAAGGCGGAUCUCUGGGCCGAUACUGACGCUGAGGAGCGAAAGCGUGGGGAGCGAACAGGAUUAGAUACCCUGGUAGUCCACGCCGUAAACGUUGGGAACUAGGUGUGGGCGACAUUCCACGUCGUCCGUGCCGCAGCUAUCGCAUUAAGUUCCCCGCCUG